UUACUAGAAAGCUACUAACCUGCAAUCCGCUUGAUGGAAAAUAGAUAAUCUGCAAUACACAUGCUGAAUUGCUAAUAAGCUUUUAGCAGUUACACAUUGCUCAUUUAUCUGCAAUACACAUGCCUUCUUUCCCAUGUAAAUUCUAAACUUUGCUCACUACUCUUUCUUUUCAGCAAAAAUCUGGAAUAAUGGAGAAGAAGAAUAAGAUAGUAGAAGAGUGACAGAUUGCUGCAACCACUUAGCUCACGAGAUGACCAUCUAUCUGCACUUGUCUUUCCCUUUGUCCUGCUAAUUUAGUAUCAGGUACUGAAAAUUCUCGUAUUUGGUUGAGAUCUAAACUAGGCAUAAGGUAGUGGAAAUGGAUCCUACGGACAACCAAGACGAGUUAAUGCACGACCUCAUUCGUGAUAGUACUGCGUAUGUAGCUCCAGAGUUUGAUGAGGACGAGAACGAUGGCAGCCAAUUUUUAAACUUGCAUUAUCAUGGCGACGAGGACCAAGAUAUUAGUGGGGAGGAAGAAGAAAAUGUCAAGGAAGCCGAGGUAUAAAAGUUUAGUGAUUCUUUCAGGUAUCAGGAUAA